rnacentral:rRNA from 1 species
AGUGAACGCUGGCGGUAGGCCUAACACAUGCAAGUCGAACGGCAGCACAGUAAGAGCUUGCUCUUACGGGUGGCGAGUGGCGGACGGGUGAGGAAUACAUCGGAAUCUACUUUUUCGUGGGGGAUAACGUAGGGAAACUUACGCUAAUACCGCAUACGACCUACGGGUAAAAGCAGGGGAUCUUCGGACCUUGCGCGAUUGAAUGAGCCGAUGUCGGAUUAGCUAGUUGGCGGGGUAAAGGCCCACCAAGGCGACGAUCCGUAGCUGGUCCGAGAGGAUGAUCAGCCACACUGGAACUGAGACACGGUCCAGACUCCUACGGGAGGCAGCAGUGGGGAAUAUUGGACAAUGGGCGCAAGCCUGAUCCAGCCAUACCGCGUGGGUGAAGAAGGCCUUCGGGUUGUAAAGCCCUUUUGUUGGGAAAGAAAAGCAGCAGGUUAAUACCCCGCUGUUCUGACGGUACCCAAAGAAUAAGCACCGGCUAACUUCGUG